GCUAACUACGUGCCAGCAGCCGCGGUAAUACGUAGGGUGCGAGCGUUAAUCGGAAUUACUGGGCGUAAAGCGUGCGCAGGCGGCUAUGCAAGACAGAUGUGAAAUCCCCGGGCUCAACCUGGGAACUGCAUUUGUGACUGCAUGGCUAGAGUGCGUCAGAGGGAGGUGGAAUUCCGCGUGUAGCAGUGAAAUGCGUAGAGAUGCGGAGGAACACCGAUGGCGAAGGCAGCCUCCUGGGAUGACACUGACGCUCAUGCACGAAAGCGUGGGGAGCAAACAGGAUUAGAUACCCUUGUAGUC
rnacentral:rRNA from 1 species